CAUACAUUUUUAAAGAACUCGUGGUCAGUCUUCAAACUACAUAUUUUCAAAUAAGUUCAAGAGUCAUUCAGAUUUUUUUUCGAAACGAGAAUGUUCAAAUUGUAGUAUUUUUGUGUGUUUUUGUCGUUAUUUUAAUUUCAAUCGAGCUAGUAUCUUUUGGAAGAUGAUACCAAAGGUUUUGGAUUUGUUUUCUCCGUUUUUCCUCAAAAUUUGUUUCUAGAUUCCUCACGUUGGGAGAAAAUCGUUAUCAUUGGCCCUUCCUCGUGAUUAUUCCCAAUUUUGGAGUUGAAUCGCCCGGGACAGGUAGAGGUUUUCAGAAUGCUUGGCUUGUUUUGCUCUUUGCUGAUGAUGAAGGUGGUCGAUGCAACGAAAAAUUCGUAAUUCCAUUCGAGAAGAAGCUUUUUAUGUAAUUUUGCUGAGAUUUUGAUUUUCUCUUCCAGGUCUUUAGUAAAAGAAUGAAACGAAAUAGUGAUAAUUUUGUGUACUCGCCUAAGAUUAUUUGUCGUUUUUACGAGUGAAUGAAAAAAAAAAAACAAUUUGUGAAAGAUUUUAAAAAAUAAUUUAUAAAGUAUUUUGUAUGGCUUUUUGUUUAAUUAUUAGUGCUGUUACUUUUGGCUGUAGAUACUUACGUAUUUUCUCCUGUUCUGUUUUGCAUACGUUUUGAACUUAUUUGGUUUAAUUAAUUAGUACCUUGUAAUUCGUGUGAUUGAAUUUUUGUCAUUUAUUGUGCUUCAAAUACGUAGGUACCAAAGUACAUAUGUACCUAGCCUACAGUGGUUGAAUAAAAAUAUAUCAAAGUACCUAAUUUUUUACGUUGAUAAAUUUGAGUAUCGUUGAAAUUUUUAAAUCAUUUCUUUUUUUCUUUUUUGUUUGUUUGUGUGUUUGUUUUUUGUAAAUUUUAUUUUGUUAUGUGUUCAAUUUUCGAAUUGGUCGAAUAAAUUGUCAACGAACUAAAUUAAGACCUAAGAAUAUGCGAUGAAAGUUUUUUCAUGUUUCUGUUUUUGAAAUUCGUAGGUACCUUGUAUUUAUGAAAUCUAUUUAUUGAUCAAUUUUUUGUACGUAAUACAUUACGAAUGUUU